rnacentral:rRNA from 1 species
AACGAACGCUGGCGGCAUGCCUAACACAUGCAAGUCGAACGAGAUCUUCGGGUCUAGUGGCGCACGGGUGCGUAACGCGCGGGAAUCUGCCCUUUGGUUCGGAAUAACAGUUGGAAACGACUGCUAAUACCGGAUGAUGACGAAAGUCCAAAGAUUUAUCGCCAGAGGAUGAGCCCGCGUAGGAUUAGCUAGUUGGUAUGGUAAAGGCGCACCAAGGCGACGAUCCUUAGCUGGUCUGAGAGGAUGAUCAGCCACACUGGGACUGAGACACGGCCCAGACUCCUACGGGAGGCAGCAGUGGGGAGUAUUGGACAAUGGGCGAAAGCCUGAUCCAGCAAUGCCGCGUGAGUGAUGAAGGCCUUAGGGUUGUAAAGCUCUUUUACCCGGGAUGAUAAUGACAGUACCGGGAGAAUAAGCUCCGGCUAACUCCGUGCCAGCCGCCGCGGUAA